rnacentral:lncRNA from 1 species
AUCGUCCUGCAUAUGUUAUUAACAAAAAAUACACAAAGAAAGAAAUAGCGAAAGAUAAUAGAAAAAAAAAUACACAGAAAAAAAGACAGCGAUUUACGUAGUUCGGCAAGUGGCUUACGUCCACGGGAGAGCGAGAGAUGUAUCCUUUAUAUGAAGAAAAUAAAAAAUACAAUCCCAAACCUUUAUAUUUCUCUCAAUCUAAUACAAGAGCCUUACGGUUAGUACUACCCUUCUCUUGUUACAACAAAUAAGAGAAACUCAACAAGCUACUAAUUAAGUUUCUAGGCUUCUCCUAAUACCUCACUUAAUUUACUC